rnacentral:piRNA from 1 species
UAAGACAAGAUAAUGUUUUGGCAGGUGG